rnacentral:rRNA from 1 species
AGUGAACGCUGGCGGUAGGCCUAACACAUGCAAGUCGAACGGCAGCACAGUAAGAGCUUGCUCUUACGGGUGGCGAGUGGCGGACGGGUGAGGAAUACAUCGGAAUCUACUUUUUCGUGGGGGAUAACGUAGGGAAACUUACGCUAAUACCGCAUACGACCUACGGGUGAAAGCAGGGGAUCUUCGGACCUUGCGCGAUUGAAUGAGCCGAUGUCGGAUUAGCUAGUUGGGGGGGUAAAGGCCCACCAAGGCGACGAUCCGUAGCGGGCCUGAGAGGAUGAUCAGCCACACUGGAACUGAGACACGGUCCAGACUCCUACGGGAGGCAGCAGUGGGGAAUAUUGGACAAUGGGCGCAAGCCUGAUCCAGACAUACCGCGUGGGUGAAGAAGGCCUUCGGGUUGUAAAGCCCUUUUGUUGGGAAAGAAAAGCAGCAGGUUAAUACCCCGCUGUUCUGACGGUACCCAAAGAAUAAGCACCGGCUAACUUCGUG